GCCUGAGCGGGGAUUUUUUUUAUAUAUAUCAAACUGCUGCUUACGUCUCAUUGCUUUGGGCAAUGAGACAGGAAAUGUCUGUCGUUUCACACCUCUAAACCCACUUACAGCGACGUGUAAGGCAACAGUGGCAAGUUCAGAAAAAGGACGACUUCCUCUCACCUCACGCUCACUUCUGUUACUGUUUGAGUUGUCCGUUUCCUGUAAAUCAAUUUAUGAUGAAACCAGAACAUCACAAGGGAAAGACAAGUUAAAUGAUUUUACAGGGGUUUAAUGGAAUAAUCUACAUUAGUAAAGCUCAGUUUUAUCAAUUACGAUAAAAAGUCGAUUUUUUAGUUACAGAUUUCAUUGUUGUGUGAGAGAGUGCAUGGAUUAACUGAUGUGAACAUCUGCUUAUGUUCUCGGCGUCUCGUGUGCUUCUUCUUCUUUCUCUUCACACAAAGUCGUAGAAGUUUUCAGACGUGUCACAGCUGGAUGUGAGGAUGGGACCCACUUUCCUCUGUGAGCUGGGCCUAUUCUUUCUCUGUACGCUCCUCUGCAGCGGACACGCUCAAGAUGCUGUGCUAACUGUUAAACCCAGCUCGACCUUGUUCAUUGAAGAGACUGUUAGCUUCAAAUGUGACAUGAAGGAAGGAGAACACACUGACUGGGAAUACAAACUCAACAAGGAUGGUCGAGCCUUUAUCCAGUACAGCACAUACAAAAAUUACAGAAAACAAAUGAAGUCUCCCUCUGAUACUGGUAAAUACCAGUGCUCUGGUCAUAUGAAGAAAUCACAUUAUACAAAGAACAGUAAUACUGUCUCCCUAACUGUGCUGGCAGGUAAACCCAGGGCCACACUGACUCCAGGAUCAACUAUAUACCAGUAGGGGGCAGUGUGACACUGACCUGCUCUGUGGGGAGCUCUGCUGGGUGGAAAUAUGAGUGGUUCAGACGUGACCAAAACACUGACGUUAAAAUCAGAACAGAUGAUCAACAAAACAGAGUAAUCAGAGUAUCUGAAGGAGGAACCUACCACUGCAGAGGAAGAAGAGGAAACCCAGUUUACUACACUGAUAAAAGUGAUGAUGUCACCAUUGAGAUAACCUUUUCAGUUCUACAAUUCAAUUUCAGUUCCAAAAUUCAGUUUUUGGGACUUACAUCCGG
ensembl:lncRNA